rnacentral:rRNA from 1 species
UACGGAGGAUCCAAGCGUUAUCCGGAUUUAUUGGGUUUAAAGGGUGCGUAGGCGGCCAAUUAAGUCAGGGGUGAAAGACGGUAGCUUAACUAUCGCAGUGCCUCUGAUACUGAUUGGCUUGAAUACACUAGAGGUAGGCGGAAUGUGACAAGUAGCGGUGAAAUGCAUAGAUAUGUCACAGAACACCAAUUGCGAAAGGCAGCUUACUAUGGUGUGAUUGACGCUGAGGCACGAAAGCGUGGGGAUCAAACAGG